CGUCAUCCAACCAAAAUAUCUCAGCACAUCAAAUUUAUCUGUCCUCGCCCUCGUGCGAUCGAAACCAAUCAAACAAAAUAUCCAACAUAUUAAUCCAACUUGUCACCCUCGUGUGAUCAAAACUCUUUUCAAAAAGAACAUUAUUUAAUCCUUUCUGAUGCGCACAACAAACUAAUGCUUAAGCCUCCGCCGAGAGUAGACAAGUCAACGUUUAGCCUUUAGGAUGCGAUCUAAACAGUCG
rnacentral:lncRNA from 1 species